rnacentral:rRNA from 1 species
ACGUACACUCCUGCGGGAGGCAGCAGUGGGGAAUAUUGGACAAUGGGCGCAAGCCUGAUCCAGCCAUGCCGCGUGAGUGAUGAAGGCCCUAGGGUUGUAAAGCUCUUUCACCGGUGAAGAUAAUGACGGUAACCGGAGAAGAAGCCCCGGCUAACUUCGUGCCAGCAGCCGCGGUAAUACGAAGGGGGCUAGCGUUGUUCGGAUUUACUGGGCGUAAAGCGCACGUAGGCGGACUAUUAAGUCAGGGGUGAAAUCCCGGGGCUCAACCCCGGAACUGCCUUUGAUACUGGUAGUCUUGAGUGCGAGAGAGGUGAGUGGAAUUCCGAGUGUAGAGGUGAAAUUCGUAGAUAUUCGGAGGAACACCAGUGGCGAAGGCGGCUCACUGGCUCGAUACUGACGCUGAGGUGCGAAAGCGUGGGGAGCAAACAGGAUUAGAAACCCGAGUAGUCCCAUGAU